GUAAGCAAAUAUACAGCUCAUAGGAUUAAACACAACUUAUACAGUUUACAUAUACAUAUGCAGCAUUAAUAUAUAGCGGAGUUUGGCAUACAAUUUACAUUGGUAAUAAAGGUGCAUAACAAAAAAUCAAGUGUUACAUAUUUUCUCUGCCUCAUACAGAUAUUUACCCAUAUUAUUUAAUUCUUUAAUAUUUCUUACAGAUAGUAAUUGAACUAAUUUGAAGGUAGAUGGGUUUCUAUAAUAAUAUAUCUUUAUAUGUUUACUUCUGACAUUUACAUAUUUAUCACACUCUAAUAUAAAAUAAUAUUGGUCUUCAAUUACUUUCUUAUUACACAUAUUACAAACACGCUCAUUUCUGGAAAUAUUAAAGUAUCUUUCAGUUUCUACAUUAAAUGAAUGUGAAUUGAUCCUAUAUUUAGUUACAUAUGACUGGUAUAAACUGUUCAAUUGGGCAAUUCAAAUAAAAUUGCAAAGACUUAGUAUGUCCAUCAUGUAUAUAUUGAUACUAAUUACAUUUUGAAGUAUUUUAAAAAAAAAUGACAAACCUUCAGCUAUAAUUAUCAGCAAUUCUUUUUUUUUAAAUUCAUGCAAAAAUAGUGGAUUAUUUCCAACACUUUGUGCUAACCAUAUAUCAUUAAAUCCAUACCUGUUUAGUAUGUCUCUUAUCGUACAACUCCAGUUGAGUUUAUCAUUCGGUUUAACAAAACUAGAUUCGUACAUACCUUCAUAAACACUAUUCAAUAUACAAUUAUUAUAUUCUAAUUACUUCAACCAGUAACGUACCAUUUUUACAUAUCUAUUUACAUACAAUGGUAAACGCCCAAGUUCAAGGUUUACAGUCGUUUUUCUCACUUUCAAAAUUCUUUUUAAAUAAUACAAAUGAAGUGUUUCUAUAUCAGCU
rnacentral:lncRNA from 1 species